rnacentral:tRNA from 1 species
UCCCAAGUGGCUCAAGGUGUAAAGAAUCUGCCUGCAAUGCAGGAGACUCAGGGUUGAUACCUGGCUUGGGAA